GAUGAACGCUAGCGAUAGGCCUAACACAUGCAAGUCGAGGGGCAGCAUAAGGAAGUAGCAAUACUUUCUGGUGGCGACCGGCGCACGGGUGAGUAACACGUAUGCAACCUGCCUUCAACAAGGGGAUAACCCGUUGAAAGACGGACUAAUACCCUAUAACACAGGGGUCCCGCAUGGGAAUAUUUGUUAAAGGACAACCGGUUGAAGAUGGGCAUGCGUUCCAUUAGCUAGUUGGCGGGGUAACGGCCCACCAAGGCAACGAUGGAUAGGGGAACUGAGAGGUUUAUCCCCCACACUGGUACUGAGACACGGACCAGACUCCUACGGGAGGGCAGCAGUGAGGAAUAUUGGUCAAUGGACGCAAGUCUGAACCAGCCACGUCGCGUGAAGGAAGACGGCCCUACGGGUUGUAAACUUCUUUUAUACGGGAAUAAAGUGCCCCACCGCGUGGGGUUUUGGUCAUGUACCGUAAUGAAUAAGGAUCGGCUAACUCCGUGC
rnacentral:rRNA from 1 species